UGGGGAAUAUUGCACAAUGGGCGCAAGCCUGAUGCAGCCAUGCCGCGUGUAUGAAGAAGGCCUUCGGGUUGUAAAGUACUUUCAGUCGGGAGGAAGGUGUCAAGGUUAAUAACCUUGGCAAUUGACGUUACCGACAGAAGAAGCACCGGCUAACUCCGUGCCAGCAGCCGCGGUAAUACGGAGGGUGCAAGCGUUAAUCGGAAUUACUGGGCGUAAAGCGCACGCAGGCGGUUGAUUGAGUCAGAUGUGAAAUCCCCGGGCUUAACCCGGGAAUUGCAUCUGAUACUGGUAAGCUAGAGUCUUGUAGAGGGGGGUAGAAUUCCAUGUGUAGCGGUGAAAUGCGUAGAGAUGUGGAGGAAUACCGGUGGCGAAGGCGGCCCCCUGGACGAAGACUGACGCUCAGGUGCGAAAGCGUGGGGAGCAAACAGG
rnacentral:rRNA from 1 species